rnacentral:snRNA from 1 species
AUCGCUUCUCGGCCUUUUGGCUAAGAUCAAGUGUAGUAACAAAUGCACCGUUCUGGAGGCAGGUGUUGAUGGUUGGGGAGGAAGCUAUCCCUGUUGGGAGUGGGGGGGGGGGGGUCUGUCUAUACCUUCUUUUUUUUUUUUUUUUAGUUUUUCCUUUUUUCAUUUCAUAGGAUAUCUAGAGUCACCAACUGUAAAGGGAAAAGCCAGUUCUCACACUUUUACUUAGUGCUAUGAUUACUAAAU